GCCGAGAGCGGGGAGUUACUGGAGGAAGGGGAGAGGUGACGUGGAAACGUCUCCUUCAUAUCUUGUUCCUCAAUUCCCAUCUUGGUCUCCAGUACUAUUUGUACCGAAAGUUUCGCCAAGGAAUGCCACAAUAGUUCAGCCGUUUCUACCUCCAAGAUUUCCCUCCCCAACCGAUGUUCGCCAAACAGGGUCUCGCAAAGAGAGAGGCAUCUCUCUUACAUCAAACCAAUCGACAAAGGAAAACCCCACAUUUACAGAAUCCUGGGAUAUUUUCAGUGCCAUUUGGACGCAGUCCCGCAGCACUGUUGGAGAUCAUUUUCUCCUGCGAGAAAGUAAGCAGCGGAUUUCCAUCUAUUGGUCUGUGAAUCCGCUAACAUAAAAAUUAAACAAACAAAAAAAGAAAAGAAAAGAAAAAAGGCACGAGAAAAAGGUCUCCGUUCUCAGAGAGCCCUGUAGGAAUGUUCCAGAUUCCUGUAUAUCGUCUGUCUCUCUGAAAGGGGAGUCGGACAUUGAUCUGACCAGCAACUGUCGUAAACUCACACCGCUCUAGCAACGACGGUAACACCCAGUUCUUUUCCUUAGCCGUUCAACUGAUCAGUCAACUGAUCAGUGACUAAAAUCUUCACUGCUUUUCUGCACACGUAAAAUAAUCUGUUACAAACUUCUACCAAAAGAUUUCCUAGGUUACCUCUAAAACCUAAGAGGAAAGAACCCUCAAGAUUAUGACACUGCUGAAAACAAGUUUGGGUCAUCAAUAACAAAAGAAAUAAUCAUCCUGUUAAAAAGAAACUAAGUUUAAAGCUUCUUCUGAGAUUGCUUCUCAGAAUUAUCUGAUUUGGAUAUCCUUUCUGUCUCUUGUUUUUG
rnacentral:lncRNA from 1 species